rfam:Yarrowia lipolytica strain CLIB122 chromosome A complete sequence.
GGCAACCUGGCCGAGUGGUCUAAGGCGCCAGGUUCAGGUGACUGAAUCAAUAUCCUGGUCUCUUCGGAGGCGAGAGUUCGAAUCUCUCGGUUGUCA